GACCUACGGGAGGCAGCAGUGGGGAAUAUUGCACAAUGGGGGAAACCCUGAUGCAGCAACGCCGCGUGAGUGAAGAAGGUUUUCGGAUUGUAAAGCUCUGUUAGCAGGGAAGAGGAAGGACGGUACCUGCAGAGGAAGCCACGGCUAACUACGUGCCAGCAGCCGCGGUAAUACGUAGGGAGCAAGCGUUGUCCGGAUUUACUGGGUGUAAAGGGUGCGUAGGCGGCCUUGCAAGUCAGAAGUGAAAUCCAUGGGCUUAACCCGUGAACUGCUUUUGAAACUGUAGGGCUUGAGUGACGUAGAGG
rnacentral:rRNA from 1 species